ACGCUCGACACCUACGGGAGGUAGCAGUGGGGAAUAUUGCACAAUGGGGGAAACCCUGAUGCAGCGACGCCGCGUGAGUGAAGAAGUAUUUCGGUAUGUAAAGCUCUAUCAGCAGGGAAGAAAAUGACGGUACCUGAGUAAGAAGCCCCGGCUAACUACGUGCCUGCAGCCGCGGUAAUCUGAGCGGGCUGGCAAGGC
rnacentral:rRNA from 1 species